AGUGAACGCUGGCGGUAGGCCUAACACAUGCAAGUCGAACGGCAGCACAGUAAGAGCUUGCUCUUACGGGUGGCGAGUGGCGGACGGGUGAGGAAUACAUCGGAAUCUACUUUUUCGUGGGGGAUAACGUAGGGAAACUUACGCUAAUACCGCAUACGACCUACGGGUGAAAGCAGGGGAUCUUCGGACCUUGCGCGAUUGAAUGAGCCGAUGUCGGAUUAGCUAGUUGGCGGGGUAAAGGCCCACCAAGGCGACGCUCCGUAGCUGGUCUGAGAGGAUGACGAGCACAACUGAAACGGAGACACGGUCCAGACUCCUAGGGGAGGAAGCAGUGGGAAAUAUUGGCCAAUGGGGGCAAGCCUGAUCCAGCAAUACCGCGUGGGUGAAGAAGGCCUUCGGGUGGUAAAGCCCUUUUGUUGGGAAAGAAAAGCGGCAGGUUAACACCCCGCUGUUCUGACGGUACCAAAAGAAUAGGCACCGGCUAACUUCGU
rnacentral:rRNA from 1 species